CCAUCGGCCAUCCGAAACCGAAACGGGGAAUCCGCGAAAAGGGAUCCCACGUGCGAGAGAGACGGAGCGACACUGUCCACCGCUCGACGGGCCGUGGAGGAACAGAGACGAGGAACGAGAGAGGAACGAGCGACGCGCAAGUUUCCCGCGCAAAUCGCGCUCCCCUCCUCGCUCGCCUCGGCGGCGAAAUCUCGGCGAAAGCGGAUCAGCCUGGCCAGUUGGACAGUCGCGGCAAACACGAGGUGUCCGACGUCGCCAGUGUACCGAGUGUCCCCGUCACGUGAAUCGGCCAUCGCGCUUCCGGUUCCGGUACGCGUACCGCGCCUCGACCGACUCCACUGAUCGAUCCACCGCGUUCGAUCCGCACUGCACGUCCCUGAGAGGGACAGAGAGAGACAGAGAGAGAGAGAGAGAGAGAGAGAGACGGAUCGCGUGGGAGACGUACCGCUCGCUCUCGCAUCGAUUUUCGCCUCGGAAGAAUUCGAAGAAUCUCGCGGUAUCUCAUCAUCUUCAAAAUUGCAAUGUAUAUUGAAUUCCAACAACUCAGUGAUUUUGUGGAUAUGUGAUUGUGGAAGUGCUAAAUAAUAAGAAACAUAAUAUUCAUAAGAUGAAGUGAAUCUACAGUAGAACAUUCAAAAAUAAGUGUUUCCAUGUUUAAUCAAGAUGUACAUCAUAUAAUUUAUGUGAUUCAUUGAUUAUGUGAUCAGUUUUAGAAGUGUUCUAUGAAUCUUCAAAAGAUAAAUAAUUCAACAGCCAUGUAACUCAAGAAUGGAUUCACUCAAGAAACUCAAGAAACCUCAAGAAUUUUUAGGUUGAAUCCCAACUUGCCUAAAUUAUGUUACUUCCAAAAACUACACAACCACUCUAACUAAUUUUAUACUCAACAUCUCCCUCACUUUACUCACCAUCCGUACUCAUCAAAAAAGUUCAAAUUAACAACUAAAGCAAUAAAAAUCCAGAUCUGUAAUUAGUCCUUUAAAAGUCCAGAUCUGCAAUUGGAUCAUUAGGAGCCCAGAUCUGCAAUUGAAUCACUAAAAGUCUAGAAUUGCAAUUAAUCCUU